rnacentral:rRNA from 1 species
UACAGAGGUGGCAAGCGUUGUUCGGAAUUACUGGGCGUAAAGGGCGCGUAGGCGGUCUUUUAAGUCUUGUGUGAAAUCCCUCGGCUCAACUGAGGAACUGCACGGGAUACUGGAAGACUUGAGUUCGGGAGAGGGAAGCGGAAUUCCGGGUGUAGCGGUGAAAUGCGUAGAUAUCCGGAGGAACACCGGUGGCGAAGGCGGCUUCCUGGACCGAUUCUGGACGCUGAGG